rnacentral:rRNA from 1 species
CCUACGGGGGGCAGCAGUGAGGAAUAUUGGUCAAUGGACGAGAGUCUGAACCAGCCAAGUAGCGUGAAGGAUGACUGCCCUAUAGGUUGUAAACUUCUUUUAUAUGGGAAUAAAAUGUUCCACGUGUGGGAUUUUGUAUGUACCAUAUGAAUAAGGAUCGGCUAACUCCGUGCCAGCAGCCGCGGUAAUACGGAGGAUCCGAGCUUUAUCCGGAUUUAUUGGGUUUAAAGGGAGCGUAGGUGGAUUGUUAAGUCAGUUGUGAAAGUUUGCGGCUCAACCGUAAAAUUGCAGUUGAAACUGGCAGUCUUGAGUACAGUAGAGGUGGGCGGAAUUCGUGGUGUAGCGGUGAAAUGCUUAGAUAUCACGAAGAACUCCGAUUGCGAAGGCAGUUCACUGGACUGCAACUGACACUGAGGCUCGAAAGUGUGGGUAUCAAACAGGAUUAGAUACCCCAGUAGUC